ensembl:lincRNA
AGAACUUCCGUAAACAUUUAGGAGGAUGGCAUCCACAUCUGCCAGGAGUGGGGACAAAAAGGACAUCAGGUCAUCUCAAGCUGCCGCCUCCUUAGGUGGAGGGCAGAAAUUAUCCUGCUCUGAAGAAUUCCUGACCCGAAUCAGCACAGAACUUACAGACGAAGCACUGUUUAUUGCUCGCUCCCGUUUGAGUCCUCUGCCCAAUAAGGAAAAGAACACAAAAGACCAAGGGACUCAGAUAUCUAGACAUGUGUUCUUCACUAAGACCCGAGGCACUGACACCCGGUGAGUGAGGCUCUGUCCUUCUCCCAGGAGCCUGUGGGGAGAGAGCAAGGGUUGACAGCAUCCCAGCAGGCUCUGACAAAAAUCGAACCCGAACCAAGGCACACCUUCUGCCAUCUCCUCGUGAAAAGGGACCACUCCCCAACAGCCUGACAACUGGAGGAUGAGCUCGGCCCUCCCUAGUACUGCUCUCUCAGCUUCUUGCCUUCCCCCACUAUGUCCCUCAGUGAAAACCUCAAGGCCUCUCUUUUGCAACUGGCUAAGCCUCUCAUCUUGGGAGGAACUCCUGGUCAUAAGCAAUGCCACCUUUGAAACCAAGAAAAUCUUCUGGAACUGUCGCGGGGCCCUCCACCCUCCGUGGGCAAAUGCUACUGAGAAGAAAAGGUUUUAAUAAAGAACCAGGAUCCUCCCU